UAGGGAAUCUUCGGCAAUGGACGAAAGUCUGACCGAGCAACGCCGCGUGAGUGAAGAAGGUUUUCGGAUCGUAAAACUCUGUUGUUAGAGAAGAACAAGGACGUUAGUAACUGAACGUCCCCUGACGGUAUCUAACCAGAAAGCCACGGCUAACUACGUGCCAGCAGCCGCGGUAAUACGUAGGUGGCAAGCGUUGUCCGGAUUUAUUGGGCGUAAAGCGAGCGCAGGCGGUUUCUUAAGUCUGAUGUGAAAGCCCCCGGCUCAACCGGGGAGGGUCAUUGGAAACUGGGAGACUUGAGUGCAGAAGAGGAGAGUGGAAUUCCAUGUGUAGCGGUGAAAUGCGUAGAUAUAUGGAGGAACACAGUGGCGAAGGCGGCUCUCUGGUCUGUAACUGACGCUGAGGCUCGAAAGCGUGGGGAGCAAACAGG
rnacentral:rRNA from 1 species